rnacentral:rRNA from 1 species
UGUGCCCUACGGGGGGCAGCAGUGGGGGAUAUUGCACAAUGGGGGGAACCCUGAUGCAGCGACGCCGCGUGGGUGAAGGAGUGCUUCGGCAUGUAAAGCCCUAUCGGCAGGGAAGAAGCAAGACGGUACCUGACUAAGAAGCCCCGGCUAACUACGUGCCAGCAGCCGCGGUAAUACGUAGGGGGCGAGCGUUAUCCGGGUUCACUGGGCGUAAAGGGAGGGGAGACGGCCAUGCAAGCCAGGGGAGAAAGCCCGGGGCCCAACCCCGGGACUGCCC